ensembl:lncRNA
GGUAAUUAGUUACUGUAAUUACAACGAUGACAGUUUCUAAAUUGUUUUUAAAGCAUUACAGUGUGUCUGUGCCUGGAGAUUGCAGUACUUAUUUUAGGAUUUAACCCUUAAUCACUGUUAAAAAAGGAUAACACUUAAGAUGUUUGGGGUCAGAUUGACCCCAAACAUUUAAAGAGCGAUUGCUUAAGGAAAUAUACAUUUUUUUAUAUGGAAAACCAUAUAUCAUUUUUUUUAUUUACUUCUCAACUAUACAUUUAUGCUGUGUUUUUUUGUGGAAAUUUUGAAGUUUUUUACCUAUUUACUGCACAAUUACAUAACUAGGCCAAAAAUUGGCACAUGAAAUAUGAUUUUUUAAAGAAAAAAUCACUUAAAUGAUGAUCUUAAUUAAAUCUAAAUAGUUUUUGGACAUUGCUCUAUGUGUUAGGGAUAGAAUACUGCCAUCUGGAGGUUAGUCGAAAAACUUUUUUUCUUCUAGUUAAGGAAUUAAAGUGCAAUGACCACAUGUAUCCAAUAGAGGUCCAUAGAGACUCAUUCAUUUUCACUUCAUUUUUCUUGAUGCUUCAACUUCUCCUCACAACUUUAUGAUAUAUAUAUAUUUUGUGAAUAUAUAUUUAAACAUUUUGAAAUACAUAAAAAAUCUGUAUUUUUGUCAAAGUUAGAGUUUGUUGUUGCUGUCUGAUAUAUUUUGAAUGAUCUGCUUUUGCAAAUUAUAAUACAUACAUUUGCAGAAACAUUACAAGUCACCACUAUGACAUGACUGUAAUCACAUACUAUUUAUUUCAGAAAAUUAUUUAUCAACAAGUAUGGAACAUGCUUGUUCCAUGUUGCAUAUGUGACAUUUUUCAGAUUUAUGCCAGUUUAGUUGAUUUUAUUUGGUAACUGAGAGCAUUUCACUGGGAAUCUGACUUGGGGGGUUUGUCAGUCUCUCAACAGUGGCAAAAAGAGUACGAGUGUUGUUUAAGUUACUGUUUAUAAGGUUUGAGAAGAAAUUCUGUCUAGCUGUGGCUAGUUUCACAUUAAAAGCAUGAAGGCUGUCUUUAUAAAAUGCUAUAGUGAAUUUCAAGUUUCGUCUUCCGCCACAUCCGCUCGGCUUUUUCUGCAUUGUCUUUUCAUAGUCUGAACUGCUGUUGAUCUUCUCCAAACUGAUUU